rnacentral:rRNA from 1 species
CCUACGGGAGGCUGCAGUGGGGAAUAUUGGACAAUGGGGGGAACCCUGCUCCAGCCAUGCCGCGUGUGUGAAGAAGGCCCUCGGGUUGUAAAGCACUUUCAGUGAGGAAGAACGCCUGGUGGUUAAUACCCAUCAGGAAAGACAUCACUCACAGAAGAAGCACCGGCUAACUCCGUGCCAGCAGCCGCGGUAAUACGGAGGGUGCGAGCGUUAAUCGGAAUUACUGGGCGUAAAGCGCGCGUAGGUGGCUUGAUAAGCCGGUUGUGAAAGCCCCGGGCUCAACCUGGGAACGGCAUCCGGAACUGUCAAGCUAGAGUGCAGGAGAGGAAGGUAGAAUUCCCGGUGUAGCGGUGAAAUGCGUAGAGAUCGGGAGGAAUACCAGUGGCGAAGGCGGCCUUCUGGACUGACACUGACACUGAGGUGCGAAAGCGUGGGUAGCAAACAGGAUUAGAUACCCUGGUAGUC